rnacentral:rRNA from 1 species
AAAUUGAAGAGUUUGAUCAUGGCUCAGAUUGAACGCUGGCGGCAGGCCUAACACAUGCAAGUCGAGCGGUAGCACAGAGAGCUUGCUCUCGGGUGACGAGCGGCGGACGGGUGAGUAAUGUCUGGGAAACUGCCUGAUGGAGGGGGAUAACUACUGGAAACGGUAGCUAAUACCGCAUAAUGUCGCAAGACCAAAGUGGGGGACCUUCGGGCCUCAUGCCAUCAGAUGUGCCCAGAUGGGAUUAGCUAGUAGGUGGGGUAACGGCUCACCUAGGCGACGAUCCCUAGCUGGUCUGAGAGGAUGACCAGCCACACUGGAACUGAGACACGGUCCAGACUCCUACGGGAGGCAGCAGUGGGGAAUAUUGCACAAUGGGCGCAAGCCUGAUGCAGCCAUGCCGCGUGUGUGAAGAAGGCCUUCGGGUUGUAAAGCACUUUCAGCGGGGAGGAAGGCGUUAAGGUUAAUAACCUUGGCGAUUGACGUUACCCGCAGAAGAAGCACCGGCUAACUCCGUGCCAGCAGCCGCGGUAAUACGGAGGGUGCAAGCGUUAAUCGGAAUUACUGGGCGUAAAGCGCACGCAGGCGGUCUGUCAAGUCGGAUGUGAAAUCCCCGGGCUUAACCUGGGAACUGCAUUCGAAACUGGCAGGCUAGAGUCUUGUAGAGGGGGGUAGAAUUCCAGGUGUAGCGGUGAAAUGCGUAGAGAUCUGGAGGAAUACCGGUGGCGAAGGCGGCCCCCUGGACAAAGACUGACGCUCAGGUGCGAAAGCGUGGGGAGCAAACAGGAUUAGAUACCCUGGUAGUCCACGCCGUAAACGAUGUCGAUUUGGAGGUUGUGCCCUUGAGGCGUGGCUUCCGGAGCUAACGCGUUAAAUCGACCGCCUGGGGAGUACGGCCGCAAGGUUAAAACUCAAAUGAAUUGACGGGGGCCCGCACAAGCGGUGGAGCAUGUGGUUUAAUUCGAUGCAACGCGAAGAACCUUACCUGGUCUUGACAUCCACAGAACUUAGCAGAGAUGCUUUGGUGCCUUCGGGAACUGUGAGACAGGUGCUGCAUGGCUGUCGUCAGCUCGUGUUGUGAAAUGUUGGGUUAAGUCCCGCAACGAGCGCAACCCUUAUCCUUUGUUGCCAGCGGUUAGGCCGGGAACUCAAAGGAGACUGCCAGUGAUAAACUGGAGGAAGGUGGGGAUGACGUCAAGUCAUCAUGGCCCUUACGACCGUGGCUACACACGUGCUACAAUGGCAUAUACAAAGAGAAGCGACCUCGCGAGAGCAAGCGGACCUCAUAAAGUAUGUCGUAGUCCGGAUUGGAGUCUGCAACUCGACUCCAUGAAGUCGGAAUCGCUAGUAAUCGUAGAUCAGAAUGCUACGGUGAAUACGUUCCCGGGCCUUGUACACACCGCCCGUCACACCAUGGGAAGUAGGUAGCUUAACCUUCGGGAGGGCGCUUACCACUUUGUGAUUCAUGACUGGGGUGAAGUCGUAACAAGGUAACCGUAGGGGAACCUGCGGUUGGAUCACCUCCUUACCUUAAAGAA